GGGCCCGCACAAGCGGAGGAACAUGUGGUUUAAUUCGAUGAUACGCGAGGAACCUUACCCGGGUUUGAACGCAUUUGGACCGACCUUGAAAGAGGUUUUCUAGCAAUAGCCAUUUGCGAGGUGCUGCAUGGUUGUCGUCAGCUCGUGCCGUGAGGUGUCGGCUUAAGUGCCAUAACGAGCGCAACCCUUACCGUUAGUUACCAUCAAGUAGUGUUGGGGACUCUAGCGGGACUGCCAGCGUAAGCUGUGAGGAAGGUGGGGAUGACGUCAAAUCAGCACGGCCCUUACAUCCGGGGCGACACACGUGUUACAAUGGGGGGGACAAAGGGCAGCCACUAUGCGAGUAGGAGCCAAUCUCUAAACCCUCUCUCAGUUCGGAUCGAAGUCUGCAACUCGACUUCGUGAAGCUGGAUUCGCUAGUAAUCGCGCAUCAGCCAUGGCG
rnacentral:rRNA from 1 species